CGCUGCCUGGGAAAGUGUUGCCGGAAUAUCCCUCUGCUCCCUGUAUCCACUGUCCCGGUAACAUACUCCCUUCAUACAUCGGAGAGCAUGUGAGGUGUCCCCGAUCCCUGUGAUUACAGGGCGCUAUAUGCACCGGGCUCCCUGCCCUCUUCCCCGGGCGGGCGGCAUGCUGCAGCAGCCCUCACUCCUGCCCAUAGGAACACGCAGAGUGAUACAUCAGACUGCUCUGGGCCCCGCAGAUACAGCCAUACGCCUCCAAAUAAGCACCCUGCGCCGCUACAGUGAUCAGCAUGUCCCGGGAGCCGCUCCCACCUAUAGUCACCCGCUGCCCGCACCACGCCGCCCCCCAACCUGGCACCUGCCCCGGUCACCGUGCAGUAGUAGCGCGGGUCUGUGGCGUCAUGAUGUCACACCGCGCCGCUGGGAGGCGGAGGAGCCGCGGAGAGGGAGGAGGAGCGCCAGGAGGGGACGGGGCUGGCUGAGGCUACAAUAACAGUCAUUGUACAAGCUAAUAAAAUCAGAAGCAUAUUCUGCAACACUGACAUGAGAAGAGAGCAGUGUGGGACCUUUACCAGUAAUGAAACCCUGGCAGAUUCGGAGAAGGGUGCCUGCAACGGAGAACAUCUGUCACAGCUGCUAGAGAUAUGCAGCGUGAGCGGCUGAAUUGCUCGGGCGAGCCGCCAUCUGCAGCCUUGUCUGGGUCACCUUGUUCCUCUUCUUGGAAACUUUGUUGGAACUUCUGCAGAUGUAUGAGAAGUGCUUGAAGUGCUAAACAUGUUUGGGGGCUCUUCUGUUUGUGGACGUGGGGGAAGAUGUGUCAAGUAGUGAAUAGAGUGGACAUGUGGGGAGAAGUUGACUGUACCAAUCAGCUUCAAGGUAGCAUUUAUCAUGUACAUUCUCUGAAAUGAUAGGUAGUAGCUGAUUGGUUGUUAUGUGCCGUUUCUACAUUCUUUUUCACUGCUUGAU